GACGAACGCUGGCGGCGUGCCUAAUACAUGCAAGUCGAGCGGACGGAUGGGAGCUUGCUCCCAGACCGUCAGCGGCGGACGGGUGAGUAACACGUGGGCAACCUGCCUGUAAGACUGGGAUAACUCCGGGAAACCGGGGCUAAUACCGGAUAACUCUUUCCCUCCCAUGAGGGAAAGCUGAAAGAUGGCAUCUCGCUAUCACUUACAGAUGGGCCCGCGGCGCAUUAGCUAGUUGGUGAGGUAACGGCUCACCAAGGCGACGAUGCGUAGCCGACCUGAGAGGGUGAUCGGCCACACUGGGACGGAGACACGGCCCAGACUCCUACGGGAGGCAGCAGUAGGGAAUCUUCCGCAAUGGACGAAAGUCUGACGGAGCAACGCCGCGUGAGUGAUGAAGGUGUUCGGAUCGUAAAACUCUGUUGUCAGGGAAGAACAAGUACCGGAGUAACUGCCGGUACCUUGACGGUACCUGACCAGAAAGCCACGGCUAACUACGUG
rnacentral:rRNA from 1 species